UUAGAAGGAAAUCAAGUUGUUCGGGGGACUGAAGAUCCUUAUUUUUUAAAAAAAGAAAAGUCCCCCACGGAGGAGCUCUUGCCAAACGAAUAUUGAGGCGCCACUCUAGCUGGUUAGCUUUGGGACGCGAUAACUCAGGGCCCUCUCGCCGAUUUGCACAGAAAUAAUUACUGGGUUAUCGUGGAGGGGAAAUGAGACAAGAGUUCUCCGUAAUGUGCCUUGCUAAGAAAAAGGUCCAAGAAUGCAAUUCGUCCCAGAGUGGCCAGGCAGGGGCGGGGUGCGAGUGGGUGGUGGAGUAGGGGUGGGAGAAGAGAGGGGCGAUUUCUGCAGAGAAUAAUUAUAGCACCAGGGCCCGCCGAGGCACUCCAUUUUGCUUUGUAAUAACGACUAUUAUUUUUAGUCUGAUCAAUGGGCGUAAUUUCUAAGCAGCCCACUGACGGAUACGCGCAAGCUUCUGCGCGCCGCUGGAAACCCACUAGCUUCGCUUGCAAACGUACCGCGUAGACGCCCCUGGCGGCGCCGAGAGAAGAGCUAGGCCUGCCUAGCACGGAACCGGCGAGCGUCGGGCCUUCCAGAAGGCCGAGGCUCGUUCGGUGCAGCGUUUGCUCCCAGAUGCCAAGAAUGCAACCCGAAAUCCUUCUCCCAAACCUUCGUGGGACGAGAUGAGCUCCUACUUGACCUCUGAACCGAGGUGGGCCGGAAGCCGAGGCCUAGGCCCCGCCGGGGCUGGAAGGGAAAGGCGAAACUCCGAGCGUAGCGAGUUCUUUUCCGUGCGGUUCCUUUCUCUGGCAUCCCGGACCGCCGGCCCUGCAGCCACCUGGACCGGCAUUCAAAGGAUUCUACAAGUCCAGCUUCACAGACUGGCUUUCCCAGACGCUCCGGAGCCCGCACCACGAACAGAAUAAAGGAGAGACGAGCGACCGCAACUAGAUUUGAGAAUCCUGGUUCUUUUCCCUAAUCGUCUGGUCAAUGAGCUCCGGAGCCGGCUGCAGCGCGCAUCCUCUCUUCCUCCCUUCGAAGAAAUGUCGCUUUCCGGAACGUGCUCCCAGCUGGGUUUUCUCCCGGAGUGUAUUUUUCUCAUUUUGCAAAAUUCCUGCCCUGAUUUUAAUCCCGCAACAGGAUAGCAGAGGUUCCUGUUUAAAAAGUCAAAACCAAAACCGAAGGGGACGAUGGCUGUUAAUUUUUUUUCUUCACUUUCUCCCUCCGUUUUUAAAAAAGACACAUCCAGAACUACCCAUUGUUUUCCUCUCAAAAGAGAACUCGCUUUAAAAUACAUCCCCUUCUAUUUCUCUCCCGAUAAGUCCCCAACAGACCCGGUGGCGACUUGGGGGUGAUGAAAAAUAGAAGCCCGGAUGGGGCUGGGAAAAUGAAUACGAAUUAAAACAAUAGAAAUGAUGACAAACGAAACUUUGACCGACUCAAUUUGCAAAAUAAAGGGUCGCUCUGAGAGUGGGACAUUCCCUGGUUUCUCAAGGGGGUCACUUCCCCUCUCACCCAGUUAGAUCUGACUCCGUUAUAUUUUUUCCAGGACCACAGUAUGUCUCUUCUCAAUGUUUUAUUCGGCUUCUAGUUUCCCUCCUUUUGAACGGAAGUAUGUGGGAAGAAUACUGGCUGCCAUUAUUAUUAUCGAGUAUCCAAUAUUCUCCCCCCCCCAAUAUUUCCACCAAAAACGAUUAUUGCUGCUCUGCUCAUUCAUGUUAGUGUUGCUUCAUGUGCUUAGAUGAUACUGUCCUCUUCACUUUCCAAGUUUGGAGGGUGAGGGGUUUUUCGUUGGUGGUGGUGGUGGUGGGUUGUUUUUGUUUUUGUUUUUGUUUUGCUGUUCAGGGUAAUGAAAUGAGAACUGGAAGAGGGGACAUCAUUUCAAGGCCCAGCUGAGAAGGAUCCCAAUGCUAGAAAUUUACACACUUCAAAGAGCAGAAAGGUGGAAGCGAGCGGUGCUCGGACACAAGGAUACCACUGUUCUCAUCUCCUCCAAUCUGGGAAGUGCCCAGCCCAGAAAGGUGAGGGUCGCAGCUGGGAGAACUUGGAGCCCCCCAGGGUCACACUGAGCCUGAGAACUCCAACCAUCUCCAUAGGGCAAACCCACUGAUAGGCCUCCCAAAAUGUUUGGGGUAGGGAAAAGAAACCUACGACAUUCCAGGUCUGUAACCCUGUAAGAGAGAGACUCGGAUUAAUAUCUCUAGGUCUGGGGUGAAGGUGGGGGGCCUGUCUGGAUACCUCUUCCCUCAAUUGAAGGGUUCAUUGGAAACCUGGGAUCCCGCUGCUCUCUGGGACUCUGGAAAGACAAAUUUUCUUUGGCAAACGGAACGGUGUCGCGCUGUCGACAGAGCAGACUAUUUUUCUUGUUCCCUCUCAAGGUGGGGGUAGGGGGAAAGAAAAGGAAGCAAGAAAGAAAGGGAAAUUAAAUCCACACGUGUUAAGCUCGCUCAAAGGGCCAGAGUCAAAACCAGAGAUGCAACUUCAACUCCAGUUCUGGCUGCCUGAGGGCCUCUUUCCAGCCAGCCAGGCCUCACAGAGCAAGGCGUCCCCACUGGAGAGAAUUCGAUCUGAUGUUUCAUAAAGUGCUUUAUUUAAGGAGAAGGGGUGUGGGUCUGUCUCCAAGUCUAUGCUGCAGGGAUUCAGAAUUUGUAGCGACAAAGAAAGCAAAGGAGACAGCAAUUGUGAUGAUAAUUAAACUCUUUAUGAAAACUCAUCUCGAUGUCUUCCAAAUCAACCCAGUAAUUCAGGCAACCUUCAAGCAAUGGCCAAAAUCUUCCAGGCCAUUGAUUUACGAAAUUUCUAAGGUCUGAUCAGGCUUUUGGACUUGGGCCUAGCUGGGUCAAGAGAAGCCGAAAUGCUGUUGUGUUCACUCUGAAAUAGCCAGUUUAAUCAGCACAGCUGAUCUCUAUAUCCUCCCUGACUUUCAUUUGGGGAGAGACCUUCUUGAGAGAGGACACUACUGGUCCCAGUUGCAGAGCCCUGGCAUACAUGGGAGGGAGUGGAGGCGGCCACCCUGCCUGGAACUCCAGUCUCCUGCGGUUCCCUGGUGCUGAGUUUCUGGCCUUUGGUGACAUCCUAACAGUAGGGUCCAGAAGCAGGGACCCCAGACACCUUGCUCCCUCACCCAAAUCACACGCAAAACAGACCGGGGUGAUGCAACUGACAGAGGCUCUCCGUGGCGAGCGACUGGCCGAAGUUCCCAGUGGAAAAGUUCCUGAUGAUUGUUUCCGCAAGGACCCUGAAUUUCCCGGUCACCAUGGCAACCUGGAAGUCCCACCGAAUAUCUUAAACAAGGGGGUGCCCCGAGGACAUUUGCACAAUUUGCUUCAUGGUCUGAGGCCUGAAACGCAUUUCUGCCUGUCGUUCUUGACUUUCUGGAGCCUCCUUCGUGGGUUCAAGAGAGCAUGGGUUUUAAAACUGCCCCUCUUUUUAAACAGGGGAGAAAAUGGAGGUUUAGUACCAGCUGGGUUCAGGUCUUGAGCAAAACCUCUUCUUUGAAUUCAGAAUUCUGACCCCAGAGCCGAGCAUGUAGAGCCUAUGGUGUAUCUGAAUCGAAACCCGCAGCCCAAACAUCUCAGCCAGAAACCUGGGACUUUAGGUGUCGAUUAACCUCUUCACAUCUGUUAACCACCCCUAUCUGCAUAGGAGGCUCCCUGCAGCAGGCCAGGCAACGUUUUUCUUUACCCGGGUUCAUUUCUCCUAAACAGAAGGAGAAAAGUCUGAGCAUUCAAAAUUGUGGCAUUAAUGUCUGCAAGGGCUAAUGGAGUGGAAAGAAUAAUUUAUUCUCCUUUUCUUUUUAGAAAAAAAAAAUGCGAUUGCAGAUGUAAUUGAAAUAACAUUAAAAUCAUAUUUCUGGUUGCA